rnacentral:ncRNA from 1 species
GGGGGAAGCGAUUAAAAGGGAAUCAGGUGUAAAUCCUGAACAGUCCCGCUGCUGUAAGUUCCAUGUAUGUUACAAGCAAUUCACUCAUUGCCACUGGAGACUAAUCCGGGAAGGCGUUUGUAGCAGGAAUAAGUCAGAAGACCUACCAUGCAAAUAU